GCUUGCUGUCAAUAAAUAUGUGGGUAAAUCUCUGUUUGGGGCUCUCAGCUCUGAAGGCUGUGAGACCCGAUUUCCCACUCCACACUCUGUAUUUCUGUGUGAGUGUCUUUAAUUCCUCUGGCGCCGCUGGGUUAGGGUCUCCACGACUGAGCUGAUCUCAGUAUCUACCACAUUCUGCUUUAUUCUCUUCUCUAGGGUAAGAAAAAUCACAAUACAUGGGUAUUCAAUAAAAUUCAAUUAAUUUAAGCCUGACUCUUGAGAAUGUGCAAUUGAAGGUUAUGAAUGUGUCACACCUAAGGUGGUGGUAGAAGUCUCUGGCACAUGGAAAAUGCCUGUUUUAACUUUUAGCUAUUUUUUUCAGGUUUUUGUCAUUAGAAUAUUUCUUCUGUUUCUACUGCAAAUAACUAUCAAAAAGGAAAAGAACAACUAGGAUGGCCUCCCCUGUUUAUCAUUGGCCCUACAAUUUUCUAGGAGUAAUAUCUUUUUGGAAUUAUGUAAUGUCCUCUGCUAAUGACAGUGUAUAGAUGCUAUUACAUUUCCUUGGGGGACAAAGUACUGUUGUCUGGAAGCUUUGAGAUUAAUGUAACACAAAGUAAAUAAGGAAGCGUUUUGCAUAUUCUUAGAUUUUUACAUUUUUAUUUUAAAACAGAGAAUUUCAUAUUGAUUAACACCUACUACUAAACAGAAUGAUGCAUUAAUUAAAUGCCUUGUCCUAACUGUUAUAAGCUCUGUUAGAAAAAUAAACAUCUCACCACAAACUACAGUGUCAGCUCUUUAAUAAAUACAUAAAACAGAAGUUAGUAGUCAAUCAGAGUUAUAUGAACAGGUUCAUAGUAUAUUAUGUGAAAGUAUCAUAUUCUCCAAUAUUCUGUAUCAUUUAAGACAAUUUAAGUUACGUAUAAUUCAAAGCCAGAAAUAAUAAGAAAUCAUAAUGAAGUAGCUAAUGUAAAAUAGUUUAAAAGCUAUGUUAAAUAUACACAAAAUGAAUUUCUAUAUUAAUAUGUGCAAAUGUAUAUUUUCUUAUAAUUUAGAAUUAAAGUACUUUAUACUCAAUAUUCUUAAUAAAAUUUAUGUACCAUACUUGUCAUUGCGUAGACUUCUUAUCAAAAUUUCACAUUUAUCUGUAGGAAAAUGUAAAGUUGGUAAAAAUUGUUUACACAAAUCACACAUUUUCCAUCCUUGACAAUUGCAGUGUUUUUUUUUUAAAUAUUGCUGUAUUAGACAAUUUUAACUGAAGUAGGUUGUAGAGGCUAGAAGAAACCUGAUUAAUAGAGUUAGCUUACAAAGAUAAAUUUUAUGCAGAAAAGUAUUCCAGGUAGAUAAAAGAGUAGUGUUAUUACUCUCAGGUUUACAUUAACAGCUGCCCAGAUAGCUGAACAAUUAUUUCAUAUAAUUCAAAUAAUUUAAAUAUGCAGUUUUAUAACAGUCGUUACAUAAGCUUGAAGUUAAAGUGAUCAGAGCCAAGGGGGAAAAACCCACAAAUGAUAAAGAAGAAUAAAAAGUAAGAGGACUCUAGAAGAAAGUUGUUUUUCACAGCACUGAUUGUUUUUAUCAUAUUUUUCUCCUGCCAUUGAUACAAGACAUGUAAGAUGCUGCAAAACCUAACUAUGACAGUUCCAUGUAAUAUUUUUCCAGUUAAUUUUGUUUAAAAGUGAGAUGAUAAUAUAAAAGGAUCUCAUAUAAUAGAAUAAAAAUAAUAAAAAUUUGUUAAUGAAACGUAGACAUACCUACCCAUUCUUGUUAGUUAAGUUAGGGUUUGCUGAAAUCAUUCGCACUCACGUAAAGUAUAAAUGGGGACCUGAAAGAGCUUUUGUAAACUCAAGAUAUGCGGGAUCUGAGCUGAUAAUCAGUUAGGCUCCAUGUUGAGUUGUGCGUGACUCAGUUGUCCUUAAAUUUCGCCUUCAUAUUUUGUCAUAAAUGGGCUCUCAAAUCUUUAUAAGAAAACAAAAUUUGCCUAGAUGCAUAAACAUUUAGGUAAAGUUGGAUUAGUGUAAUAUUUAUUCAAGCAUAAUUUUAAACACUGCAUCUGAAGUGCCAACAGUUGCAAGAAAUGUCACAAUUUCAGAGAUGUUAAAUUGAAAAAGUGAUGUCUUGGAAUCAAUGAAAUAUAAAUAUGGAUAUGUAUAAUCAGUUAUACAUAAAAAUUUGCUAUAGAGGAAUUAUAAAAGAAAAGGAAAAUUAUUUGAAAGAAUGUUAGCUAUAUCUCAGUGGUCUGCAUUGCAUAAAAUGGAGUUCUUGAGCUCAAACAGUUGUGAAAAUUUAGAAUUCUUAGAUUUUAAUGGGUCUGUCUUUGUUCAGGGGCAAAGACUCAAAUGAGCUUUAAGAUCAAUUAAAGAUGUCUGGAAAUGAAGAACUUCAUUAUACCAUUAAAUUCAGUUAUUUUUCACUAUUAGGCUUAUUAAGCUUGAAGCUUUAGGAAAUCUCUUGGGAAGAGUGAGUGGAAAAAACAGGAGUAAGAAAAGGAAGAAAAAGCCUUUGAGUCUAAUCUACUCUACCAGGUUCCAGGAAGAAUAUAAUUCUACAGAGAAAAUUCUUCAUAAUCUAUCAUAAUAUAUUUCAGUGUCUGAUGGCUGACUCUUGUCUUGCAUAAAGAUAUCUUCAGUGGAUAUUAAGUAAAUAUUUAAGACAUAAUCAGAUUUUUAGUGAAUUUUUAAGUCCUCCAGAAAAGUCUAUGACUUAAUAAAUAUUAGCAAGUUUCCAAAAAUAUAACAAAUGUUUAUAAAUACGUGUGCACUGCAGUGCAAUGGUGUCCCCAGAGAAAUAAAAUGCAUAACAAAGCAAAUGUUAUGUUGUAGUGUAUGUAUGGCACAUUUAUAAAUCAUUACAUACUUUAGGGCACAAAAAUGCUGCAGUACUAAAAGUGUUGUUCAAGUUCUCAAUUCUGUUAACAAUUUAAAAUUUCAUUAAUUGUGUUUAAUAUCAAUGAAUCUCAAAAGGCUCCUGUGGCCAUAUUAGUUGAAAAUAGACUCUAUUUGCAUACAUUAUUUAACCUAAGAGUACCCUGUGUUCCCUUACCAUUUAAUUAAUUCUAACUAGUCAAAUAUUAAUUCUCAUCUCACAAAUCAUUACACAGGAAGAUAUCAAUUAUUCAAGUAAAAUACAAGCCCUACAAUCUUUAAAAAUUAGCUUUUUAAGUAAAAACAAAAAAGAUAAGCACAAGACUUUGCAAGCAUAACCACAAUCAUCGUCUAACACUGAGUUGCCUACAAGGAAGUUUGUCCCUUCCUAUGGUAACAGCCUUGGUCCACUAUAAAGUUAGUGCAAACAAGUGAGGGUAUAAAAAAAAUAUAAACUCUGGAUUUUUAAGGAUUUCAUUUUGUUAUACUCUUUUUGGAUAAUUCAUUCCAUACGGAAAUUUGUUUAUUGUUCAUAAAUAUCAUAAUGUUCAUUUCAAAAAUUGUCAUCAUCUUAAUGGCUAUCUUACACUUUUUUCUUUUGGAGGGUUGUCAGGCAUCCAUCCAUUUUCCUUUUUAAGAAGAACGUUAUGUGUAUUAGGCUACUAAACCCAAUUUUUACAUUAUUUUUAGUGAUCAAAGGUUUCUUAUACAAGUGACUCACAGUACUGAAUUAUGUCAAUCUCUCAUUUGAGGAAGGAAAUGCAGUUCAAGUUAGCAUUGAAAGUGCUUGGCUGUAGAGGACAUCUAACAGAGCUGCUGUGUUUAUUGGCUCCAGAACAACUUAUUAUAGGUUUUUCAGUUCUCUUUAGGGUAGAAUAUGAGAUGGGGUUAGUCUUCAUCAAAAUGCAGUAUCUAGUACUUUAACUCAAGUGCUGGAAGACAGCAAAUCUUGGAAGUUUAUUAUAAAAAAAAAGAUAUUUCGGAUAGAUUCCUUUGUUGUCAUGGGCAAAACUGUAUAUCCACACAGGACUGUUAGACUCCUAGCCAAUAAAAUCAGACUAAGUCCAUAGGGAUAAGGUAAGUAUGCCAUACUUCAGUCUCUUAAGAAGCUGAUUAGCAUGAAAGACUGGAAGCUGAUUAUGGACAAUUCAGUUUGAAUUAUUCCUUUCUAUUUUGCUUUGAACUUUCCUCAUACACUUAAGACAUGAGUAAAUCACUUGAGUGUUUUCUGAGAAAUCGUUUAAGUUUUCUGAGGCUCAGUUCCCUAACUCACUAAAAAGGAGAAUUAGCAGCCUGGCAUGGUGGCUCAUGCCUGUAAUCCCAACACUCUGGGAGGCCGAGGAGGGUAGAUCACCUGAGGUCAGGAGUUUGAGAUCAACCUGUCCAACAUGGCAAAACCCCGUCUCUACUAAAAAUACAAAAAUUAGCUGGGCACGGUGGUGGAUGCCUGUAAUCCCAGCUACUCAGGAGGCUGAGGCAGGAGAACUGCUUGAACCCGGGAGGCAGAGGUUGCAGUGAACCCUAAUUGCGCCAUUGCACUUCAGCCUGGGUGACAAGAGUGAAACUCCGUCUCAAAAAAAAAAAAAAAAAAAAAAAAAGCUUAUUUCUAAGAUAUCAUCUAUUCUCCAAUUUUGUACUUUUAUGAAUUCUGGCAAGAAGGGUUGGAGUGAUUCUGGGAAAGAACAUCCUUAGGCUGCCUUGAAGGGAGAAGAUAAUAUAGCUUUUCAUUUAAAAAAUGCUGAUAUCUACUUGCAAUCAAAAUCUAAGAAAACAUUCAAAAUGUGGUACUUUGCUUGAGGCAGAAUUUCUAACUAUCUUGUGAAUUAAUGAUAAGAUAAAUGAAAUGGCCAAACAAUCCCUUCAGUUUACCAGGUAAGAGGAUACAAAACUCCACACUUGUGCACAAUGAAGCUAUUCAGGUUUUGAUGAUACUUUACAGUGUCCCCUAUUAACAUUCAGCUUUUAAAACUAGUAUUCUGAUAAAGUGACAUUGUAUUAUUAGUUUUUUAUGGCAGUAGUAACUUAGCACUUAAUUAAUCCAGUCAUCUGUGACAUACAUAAACUUAUCCUGUAAAAAAGA
rnacentral:lncRNA from 10 species